CACGUAGGCACCUAGCGUUGUCCGGAUUUAUUGGGCGUAAAGAGCGUGUAGGCGGCCAGGUAGGUCUGGUGUGAAAACUCGAGGCUUAACCUCGAGAUGUCAUCGGAAACCAUCUGGCUAGAGUCCGGAAGAGGAGAGUGGAAUUCCUGGUGUAGCGGUGAAAUGCGCAGAUAUCAGGAAGAACACCAAUGGCGAAAGCAGCUCUCUGGGACGGUACUGACGCUGAGACGCGAAAGCGUGGGGAGCGAACAGG
rnacentral:rRNA from 1 species